rnacentral:rRNA from 1 species
UACGAAGGGGGCUAGCGUUGCUCGGAAUCACUGGGCGUAAAGCGCACGUAGGCGGAUUCUUAAGUCAGGGGUGAAAUCCCGGAGCUCAACUCCGGAACUGCCUUUGAUACUGAGAGUCUCGAGUUCGGGAGAGGUGAGUGGAACUGCGAGUGUAGAGGUGAAAUUCGUAGAUAUUCGCAAGAACACCAGUGGCGAAGGCGGCUCACUGGCCCGAUACUGACGCUGAGGUGCGAAAGCGUGGGGAGCAAACAGG